rnacentral:tRNA from 1 species
GGGGCUCAGUGGUAGAGCUCCCGCCUCGCAUGCAGGAAGACCUGGGUUCGAUUUCCGGC